rnacentral:rRNA from 1 species
UUUUAUGGAGAGUUUGAUCCUGGCUCAGAGUGAACGCUGGCGGCGUGCCUAAUACAUGCAAGUCGAACGAUGAAGCUUCUAGCUUGCUAGAAGUGGAUUAGUGGCGCACGGGUGAGUAACGCAUAGGUCAUGUGCCUCUUAGUUUGGGAUAGCCAUUGGAAACGAUGAUUAAUACCAGAUACUCCCUACGGGGGAAAGAUUUAUCGCUAAGAGAUCAGCCUAUGUCCUAUCAGCUUGUUGGUAAGGUAAUGGCUUACCAAGGCUAUGACGGGUAUCCGGCCUGAGAGGGUGAACGGACACACUGGAACUGAGACACGGUCCAGACUCCUACGGGAGGCAGCAGUAGGGAAUAUUGCUCAAUGGGGGAAACCCUGAAGCAGCAACGCCGCGUGGAGGAUGAAGGUUUUAGGAUUGUAAACUCCUUUUGUUAGAGAAGAUAAUGACGGUAUCUAACGAAUAAGCACCGGCUAACUCCGUGCCAGCAGCCGCGGUAAUACGGAGGGUGCAAGCGUUACUCGGAAUCACUGGGCGUAAAGAGCGCGUAGGCGGGAUAGUCAGUCAGGUGUGAAAUCCUAUGGCUUAACCAUAGAACUGCAUUUGAAACUACUAUUCUAGAGUGUGGGAGAGGUAGGUGGAAUUCUUGGUGUAGGGGUAAAAUCCGUAGAGAUCAAGAGGAAUACUCAUUGCGAAGGCGACCUGCUGGAACAUUACUGACGCUGAUUGCGCGAAAGCGUGGGGAGCAAACAGGAUUAGAUACCCUGGUAGUCCACGCCCUAAACGAUGGAUGCUAGUUGUUGGAGGGCUUAGUCUCUCCAGUAAUGCAGCUAACGCAUUAAGCAUCCCGCCUGGGGAGUACGGUCGCAAGAUUAAAACUCAAAGGAAUAGACGGGGACCCGCACAAGCGGUGGAGCAUGUGGUUUAAUUCGAAGAUACACGAAGAACCUUACCUAGGCUUGACAUUGAGAGAAUCCGCUAGAAAUAGUGGAGUGUCUAGCUUGCUAGACCUUGAAAACAGGUGCUGCACGGCUGUCGUCAGCUCGUGUCGUGAGAUGUUGGGUUAAGUCCCGCAACGAGCGCAACCCCCUUUCUUAGUUGCUAACAGGUCAUGCUGAGAACUCUAAGGAUACUGCCUCCGUAAGGAGGAGGAAGGUGGGGACGACGUCAAGUCAUCAUGGCCCUUACGCCUAGGGCUACACACGUGCUACAAUGGGGUGCACAAAGAGAAGCAAUACUGCGAAGUGGAGCCAAUCUUCAAAACGCCUCUCAGUUCGGAUUGUAGGCUGCAACUCGCCUGCAUGAAGCUGGAAUCGCUAGUAAUCGCAAAUCAGCCAUGUUGCGGUGAAUACGUUCCCGGGUCUUGUACUCACCGCCCGUCACACCAUGGGAGUUGUGUUUGCCUUAAGUCAGGAUGCUAAAUUGGCUACUGCCCACGGCACACACAGCGACUGGGGUGAAGUCGUAACAAGGUAACCGUAGGUGAACCUGCGGUUGGAUCACCUCCUUUCUAGA